rnacentral:rRNA from 1 species
GAGUUUGAUCAUGGCUCAGAACGAACGCUGGAGGCGUGCCUAACACAGCAAGUCGAACGGGACCUUCGGGUCAAGUGGCGGACGGGUGAGUAAUACAUAGGUAACCUGCCCUGGAGAGUGGGAUAACCUGGCGAAAGUCGGGCUAAUACCGCAUACUGUUCAUAAAUGAGAAGUUAUGAAAGAAAAGGAGAAAUCCGCUUUAGGAUGGGCCUAUGUUCGAUUAGCUAGUUGGUAAGGUAAAGGCUUACCAAGGCUCUGAUCGAUAGCUGGUCUGAGAGGAUGAUCAGCCACACUGGGACUGAGACACGGCCCAGACUCCUACGGGAGGCAGCAGUGGGGAAUUUUCCGCAAUGGGCGAAAGCCUGACGGAGCGACGCCUUGUGGGUGAAGAAGUCUUUCGGGACGUAAAGCCCUGUCAGCAGGGACGAAUCAAGUGACGGUACCUGCAGAGGAAGCAUCGGCUAACUACGUGCCAGCAGCCGCGGUAAUAC